GCACGUUCCAGCUGGUCAGCCCGCCCAGCCGACAGACCCCCUCGCGCGGAGCAGUUGCUGGUAUUUAAAAAAAAAAAAAAAAAGAAAGAAACCCAGUCGAUCUGAGAAUCCCUGUUCGCUCCAGAACCGACAGCCGGUCCGGUUCAUCGUCUUGUUCUGAGUGUUUUAUUGGACACGAAGGGGGAAAAGUGCAAAGAUGGAUCCGCUGGUGGCUGCGAUCGAUCAGGGCACGAGCUCGACGAGGUUUCUGGUGUUCAACGCAAAAACAGCCGAACUGUUGAGUCACCACCAAGUGGAGGUCAACCAGAGUUACCCCAAAGAAGGCUGGGUGGAGGAGGACCCCAAGGAGAUCAUGCAGUCUGUGUACGAGUGCAUCGAGAGGACUUGUGAGAAACUCCAUCAGCUCAACAUCGACAUCUCCAACAUAAAAGCGGUGGGUGUGACCAAUCAGAGAGAGACAACCCUGGUUUGGGACAAAGAGACGGGAGAGCCGCUCUACAACGCCAUCGUUUGGCUGGACCUGCGCACACAGUCAACAGUGGAAAGACUCAUUAACAAAACUCCGGGCCAGAACAAGAACCACCUCAAGCACAAAACGGGCCUUCCCAUCAGCACCUACUUCAGCGCGGUGAAGCUCCGCUGGCUGUUGGACAACGUGGAAGAAGUGCGACAGGCGGUGCUGAGCGAGCGCGCCAUGUUUGGGACCGUGGACUCCUGGAUCAUCUGGUGCCUGACGGGAGGCAGGAACGGAGGCGUCCACUGCACAGACGUCACCAACGCCAGUCGCACCAUGCUCUUCAACAUUCACACCAUGGACUGGGAUCCUGAGCUCUGCAGGUACUUUGACGUCCCGAUGGAAAUCCUCCCUAAAGUCAGGAGCUCGUCUGAAAUCUACGGCUGGAUGAAAUCCAGCUCUCUGACAGGAAUUCCGAUCUCUGGGUGUCUCGGUGACCAGUCAGCUGCCCUGGUUGGUCAGAUGUGCUUCAAGGAAGGCCAGGCCAAAAACACGUAUGGGACCGGUUGCUUCCUGCUCAGAAACACAGGGACGAAGCCUGUGAUGUCGGACCACGGCCUGCUGACCACAGUCGCCUACAAAAUGGGAAAAGAGGAGCCGGCGUGCUACGCACUCGAGGGUUCAGUGGCCAUCGCAGGGGCGGUGGUGCGGUGGCUGAAGGACAACAUGGGCAUCGUGCAGUCCUCCUCUGAGAUCGAGACACUAGCAGCAGCAGCUGGCUCGUCUUACGGCUGUUACUUUGUGCCGGCGUUCUCCGGACUCUAUGCCCCCUACUGGGAGCCCAGUGCAAGAGGCAUCAUCUGUGGACUCACUCAGUUCACCAACAGGAACCACUUGGCGUUUGCUGCUCUCGAGGCCGUCUGCUUUCAGACCAGAGAGAUCCUCGAGGCGAUGAACCAGGACAGCGGCAUCCCUCUGACGAUGCUGCAGGUGGACGGAGGCAUGACGUCCAACAGGCUGCUGAUGCAGCUGCAGGCCGACAUCCUCUGCAUGUCUGUAGUCCGACCCACCAUGUCCGAGACCACAGCUCUGGGUGCAGCCAUGGCAGCGGGGGCAGCAGAGGGGGUGGAGGUGUGGAACCUGAGCCCCGAUCACCUCCCACACGUCACAUCAGAGAAAUAUAUACCUCAGAUCAACUGUGACGAGAGUGAAUUCCGCUUCGCCCGCUGGAAGAAAGCCGUCCAGAGAGCCAUGAACUGGGAGACCAUAGAGCCCUGCUGCAGUUCAAACGGUUUAGGAAAGAAGAUGAACGGCGCCCCCUGGGGGGUCCCUCCCACCCCUCCCCCCAUCAGAGCGGACCCCUAAGGUCCGAGUUCACUCCUGCUGCAUGCCACGCGUGACGGUUACAGCACUAACACGUAUCACCAGCAGUAAUCGCGGUACGGGAACGUGGAAGCCUACUACGGAGAAAAACUGGAGGAGGAAACGAGCUCACGGUGACUGAAGGACUUUGGCGGCUGCGUGACGUGAGAUGCGGUUGUUUCAGGUGACGUGUUGCCUUGUCAGCAGUAGUGACAGUUUAUCAUCAACCUCAAGUGCCAACUGGACUGAAGAGAGACAACCUGUGGAGUGUUUUUCAAGCAAGAACGGAACCAAUUCUGAUCAAACUACUGUCGUCUUCCCUUUUCUAAUGUAAGGGAAACCAUCCUCGGAAAAACUGUGAAUUUUGCCUUCUUCACCUUGUGCAGCGGGAUGUUCAGGUGUUCCUCGUCUGAAGUAAAGAGUCGCACUAUUGUACCUCGUCGCUGUAGCAAAACGGAUACUGUACUGUUGUUAACUGUUCUGUAAAUAGUGUUGUUGACAGGGACUAACUCAGCGUCUGUUCUGGGUUGUUCUUUGAAGAACUGGAGGAAAGAGACAAAGGUUUUAUGAGAUAGUAUGAGUUUAAACUUUUUUGGGAUCGACAGGUAAAAACACUAACAUGUUUUUAAAGGUUUUGUAUUACUGAGGAGUGACACCGCAGGCUCUCAACAGCACUUUAUUUGUCAUGUCUGGAGAGGAUGAUCGUUGGAGCCCUGCAGAGUUUUUAAAGGGAAAAGUGUUUUCUGUUUAUAAAUUUUUUUUAAAUUUUUUUAAGCUCAUAAUUACUGAAAUCGGCACCAUGACUGUAAAGAUUCAAUCAAGCAUCCAUCCAUCAAGUCAAAACAUGUUGAUCCUAUGAACACAGAUUUGUAUAUUUCAGAUUUUUAUUAAAUCCGAGCCGUUUCACACCUUCACUGAUGAAAAUCUUGAAGCUCACUUUAAAUCAGAAUGAAGGUACUUCAAACUUAAAGGUCCCAUAUUGUGAUCAUUUUACAUAAGUUUACUCUUUUUUUGGUUAAAUGCUUAAAAUAACGUCUCUGGUAAACACAAGCUUCUAAGACAUUUUUAUAAGCAAGUGGUUUUAUAACAGUGGUUGCUAACGAGUGUCUAAAUGAGACUACAGAGGCUGUCAGGGACAUUAAAUGUCAUCACAGCAAACACGGACACUCAUCUGCUCACUAGUCCGGCUUUACAGGACAACUUCAGUUAAACUAUUCUAACUUUGCAACUUGCACAUCGAUCAUUUCAUAUGGACGUGUUUUUUUAGAAGGACGUAGUAGUGAUGCGGAUGUAACGGCUUUUACUUCGGGUGAUUUCAUUUCAGAUUCAAAGAUCAUCUGUGAAGAUUAUCUUGCUGAACAAAAUGUGUAGGAAUCAUAAAUUGUGUUUUGCCUCAGUGACGUCUUGUCAUUGGAAGCGGGGUGAUGCUAACCUCUUGUAGCGGCUCAUAGGAAAUAAAACUAGGGGUCACUGCGUCACUGAAUCUUGGACUCUUGUGUGACCGGCGUUGUAUGACUUCUGAUAAAGAAAAUUAAAUGAACACACCUCAGACUACUGACAUGUUAAUGCUGUGACCACACUGGGCAGGUUCAAGCAAAUAC